GAGGGAUGAGGAAGAUGGUGGCCUUUGCUUGCAACUGCUGCAUGCAUACCCUGGUGGCAAGGUGGCCAAAGGCUAAGUCUCCUGACGACAGUCCAGAAGUGCACCACAAAGGAGUUGUGG
rfam:Otolemur garnettii contig055568, whole genome shotgun sequence.